rnacentral:rRNA from 10 species
CACCGAAGCUGCGGCAGCGACACUGUGUGUUGUUGGGUAGGGGAGCGUUCUGUAAGCCUGUGAAGGUGGCCUGUGAGGGUUGCUGGAGGUAUCAGAAGUGCGAAUGCUGACAUAAGUAACGAUAAAGCGGGUGAAAAGCCCGCUCGCCGGAAGACCAAGGGUUCCUGUCCAACGUUAAUCGGGGCAGGGUGAGUCGACCCCUAAGGCGAGGCCGAAAGGCGUAGUCGAUGGGAAACAGGUUAAUAUUCCUGUACUUGGUGUUACUGCGAA